rnacentral:misc_RNA from 1 species
GAUGAAGAACGUAGCGAAAUGCGAUAAGUAAUGUGAAUUGCAGAAUUCAGUGAAUCAUCGAAUCUUUGAACGCACAUUGCGCCCGCUGGUAUUCCGGCGGGCAUGCCUGUUCGAGCGUCAUUAAGUCCACUUAAGCCCAGCUUAGUGUUGGGAGACUGCUCCAGCGGUGCUACCCUGUAGCUACCCUGCAGCUCCUCAAAGACAGCGGCGGAGUUGUGGUAUCCUCUGAGCUUAGUAACUUGUUCUAGCUUUCGAGUACACCACUUCCCCUGCCGUAAAAACCCUUAAUUUUUAAUGGUUGACCUCGGAUCAGGUAGGAAUACCCGCUGAACUUAAGCAUAUCAAUAAGCGGAGGA